rnacentral:sRNA from 1 species
AGAUGACCCAUGCCCUGCAGGAGCUGGCUGCUGCCCAGGGAUCCUUUGAGGUUGCCUUCCCUGAUGCCGCGGAGAAAAUGAAGAAGGUCAUUACACAGCUUAAAGAAGCCCAGGCUUGCAUCCCUCCCUGCGGUCUCCAGGAGUUCGCCCGGCGUUUCCUCUGCAGCGGGUGCUACUCUAGGGUCUGCGACCUCCCGCUGGACUGCCCAGUUCAGGAUGUGACAGUGACUCGGGGCGACCAGGCUAUGUUUUCUUGCAUCGUAAACUUCCAGCUGCCAAAGGAGGAGAUCACCUAUUCCUGGAAGUUCGCAGGAGGAGCUCCGGACUCAGGACUUGUCCUAUUUCCGAGAUAUGCCGCGGGCCGAAGGAUACCUGGCGCGGAUCCGGCCGGCUCAGCUCACGCACCGCGGGACGUUCUCCUGCGUGAUCAAGCAAGACCAGCGCCCCCUGGCCCGGCUCUACUUCUUUCUUAACGGUGGGGCGGGGCGCGGCGGC